UUAAAUUCAUAAGUUAUCAUGCUUCCUUUUUAAUUUCAGCAAUCACAUAUAAUCCUAGAAAACUUAAGAGUUUUUUUUUUGUUGAAAUUUUAUUCAGAAGUUCAUUUUAGGCCCAAACUGGAUUAGCAAAUUGAUAAAAAUAAUAAUAAUUUUUUUCACGAAUAAAAUGCAAAUUAUGUUCUUUAAUUAAUAAGAAAUAUUAUUUGAAUUAUUUCCAAUAUAUUAGAAAAAAGGAAUUAUUGUAUCUCAUCUUGUAUAAUCAAAUUAAAUUAAUUAUACGAAGAAAAGGAGUUCUAAACAAGAAAAAGAAAAUAAGCAAAACUACACCUAGAACUUUUUAACCAAUUUUUUUUUUUUAAAAAAUAAGAAUUCGUAAACCUAAAAGUGGAAUACGAAAAGGACAACAAGGACUCUUAAACAAAAAAAUUUACAACAAAAAGAUAAUACGCGUAAACUUAUAAAAUACUCUUAAGUUUAAAGGGAUUUGAUAGUGAAGAACUCCUAGAAUCGGAAGGAAAGCGAAAGAAUUUGAAUUAAAUAAUUAUAUGAUUUUCAUUUUUCUAUAUCAAAAUCCUAAAUAUUGGGCAAAUAAUUAAAUGACUAUCCCUAAAUAUUAGGGAACUAAUUAGAAUGACUAUUCCUACAUAUUAGGAAAAUGACUAAAAUUACUACUUUAUUCAACAGAAAAAAUAUUUAUAAAGGGUAAAAAGGCGAACGAUAUAUAGCAUGCGUGUCGCGCCCCUUUUUUCCCUCUUUGCAUUGGGAGAUCGGGUUUAUGACAUUUUGGGUAUAGGACAACUCAUUCCUUUUGGAAACUAGGUUUGCAUUUGAAGAGUCGUCACCUAAUGAUUUAAGGUGCAUUAGGACACCUAUAAAGUUCAUUUCUAUGUUUGUUUGAUAACUAGAGAUAGGGUAAGAGCUUGAAAUUAUCCCAAGGGGAAGGUAUUAGGCACCCCUCAGAAUCCACUAGUGUGGUUCCCGGCCAGACAAUUUUGUGAAUUUGUACAAUUAGCAAAUAGACAAGUAUAGGCUCAAGUAGUAGGGAAAUUGGGUUUGAACACAUAAGAGUUUGAAAACAAUUAAAAGGCGAAUUUUGAAAAUGAGAUAUAGUUCUACAAAUACUUGAGAAUAUAGAAGGAAGGGGACUCCUAGGUUUAUUUAUAAUAUGCAUCACAUCAAUGCGAUACCCGGUAUGACACUCCUCAGAAGAGGGGAUACACGUGGUAUUAGCGCACCGGUCAUCAUAUCCACAUCUACUCUUUUCACCAUGUUAAGGUAUUAAAGCGCGGAUUGGUAUCGACCUCUAUUGCAUGCUAUUACCCGUCCCAUUCCUAUCAAUCCCGGAGGAAUUUAGGACUACUAUUCCUAUAAGAGAGGAUUUUAGGCUGACUCUUGGGUUUUUAAAGGUAAAAAGACUAAGGCGACAUUCAAAACACGUAAGACUGCAUAUUAGGGGAACAUAUAAACAGCUAAGAGGCUCAUAUAUACCUCCUCAAGCAAAGCACAUAAAUAGCAUGACUUAAACACAUUCAGGGUCAGAAUUUAAAGUACUAAGACAGGGGAGUUUUAGUUGCUGAAGCAAACCAGUUUAUUACAUAACUCAGAUAAGAAGUCCGAAUCAGGCAUUCCUGCUGGUUGUAGCGGUUACUAAUUAACAAAGGUGGAUUCAAUUUUGUUGUUAUCACCUAAGGCUUGCCUGAGUGUUUAUUAGUGAUAUCCUAUAAGCAUGAUAUCUAUUACUAAUUAGGAAAUGCAGUAAAGUAGUGACAGUUUUAAACGAGCGAUUUGGAUCUUAUAGGCAUGCUUUCUAAACCGUAUUAAUAAAAAGAGUAGGUUAUUUAAACUGAUUCAGAACAACACGAGUCGAACUGGUUUUAAUUAAACUGGUUGACAUGAGUAUCAAAGACUGAUUUUGGUCCUAUAAUCAUGGUAUCUAGUUGAACGUGAAAUGAAGCAGACAGGAUUUACAGCAAAAUUCCUAUAGGCAUGAUUUCUAUAAAAAUACUGAUUUUAAUCUUAUAGACAUGACAUCUAAUUUCAAAGAUGAUUUUAACCUUACAGACAUGACGACUGAUUAUAACCAUUUAGAUCAUAUAGGCAUGGUGUCUAAGUGUGGUAAUAGAACAUGCAGAGUUCAUUAGACAAAUCAUAUAGGCAUGUUCUCUAUCUGCGUGAAAGUGGAGCAUGCAGAACUUGAAUUAAAACAGAACAGAUCCUAUAGACAUAUUCUCUACCCUUUUAAUAGCAAAAUAUGCAUAAUUACCCAUCCUUUUUUUACUAACCAACUCCAAUGUUUGUUACAAAUUAUUAUAGACCAAACACUGAAUUACAUCAGAAAAGUGUAAAGUAAGAAGUUACAACCAUAGGAAGCCUGAUUCUUGACUUCCUCUCUGAGUUAUGGAAUAAACCACCUCAAGAGCCACUUGUUUCAAAGCCUUUCUCAUAUCUGGGUGUGUCAAAGUUCCCUAAGGGUCUUAAGGGACCCCGGGUUUGCAUAACCAGACAGAAAUGAGUACAGUGUGGAAGGGUCAGCCCUUAUGUGUCCAAGUUCAGAGGGAGCUCAAUGGUCCCAAGGCAAGGCUCACACAAGAGGGGUAGAACCUAGGUUCUAAGAAUAUAGUGAAAGUGCAGAAUACAAAGAUUUAUUUAAAACUGGGUUGAGAAUAGUAAGGGGUAAGGGUGAUUUGAAAACAGUAGUAGUAAAUCUUAAACUACAUAGAAUCAACAGUUGCACAAAGGGGUCAAGGGUUUUGGGAAUACAUUGCAUGAAGCAUAUGACCCCAGUAAGAGUCAGGUUUGGACAUGCACAACAGUAGAUGAUGCUGGCAUGCCCACAAACCAGCCAGAGAACAUAAACACAAAGAGGGGAUGUGGGGUUUGGGGAUUCACACACAUAGGAAAGCAUUAAUUUAAAAGGGGAAGGGAACACAUUUUAACAUGCUAGUAAUGUAACUUGACUGCAGAAACAUAAGCAGAAAUAGACAAAUAUGAGAGAAGUUGGAACAAUUAUAGAAAACAUGUUGUUGUUGAUGCUUGAAAAUUAACUAGGACAUACCAGCAAGAAGCAAACCGCAGAAAGGAAAGGUAAGCAAAUUUUCACAGCCUAGCCUUGGCUUUUAGCCGGCUAGACAAAGCAGUAGCACAAGUAGCAAUAGAAAAAGAGAGGUUUUGAGUGAAGUGUGUGUUCUUGAACUCAAAUUGUUCGUGUCUUUGAAAGAAAAGAGGGUGGGUAUUUAUAGUUUUGAAAACAGGUAAAGAGUAAGGUAAUAAGUAAAGUCUUAACACAAACAUGGAAACAAUCACAAGUCAGAAUCAAUUAACCCAAGUGAUUCCCCUUUAAUUAAGGAAUCACUGUUUAACGGAUAGCAGCAGGUCUAAUUAAGGAAAGAAAAUCAGUUUGAGGACAGAUUGAUUAUUGCCAUAAAAGGGAUAGUAAAAACAUGAAGUAAACAAUCAAGUCUAAGUACAAAUAUAUGCUUAUUUUUGAAAAGAUUCAGUAAGGUAAAUAUCACAGCAAAGGAAAGGAAUCAAUUAAUUUUAAAGAGGCAAGUGAAAUUAGGGGUCAUAAAAGAAAAGCUUUUGCAAUCAGUCACAAGACCAAGAUCAAUCAAGGAAGAAACACGAUUCUGCACUUCAGUAUAUAAAUAGAGUGAACAGAAGCAUCAGACAUGCGAGGCCAAAUACAUUGGCAAAAGAAACAACAUACAAUAGUAGCAGAAAUAAGCUGGGAUUCAGUAGUAAGAAAGAUAUUCGAAGCAUAGUAGUCAAGUAUGUCAGGUAGUCACAUAGAAUUAACAGUGAAGAAAUCAUAGCAACAGGUAAAGAGAAUCGAAAACAAGUAAAGGUCUCACAUCAUCAAGUGAGGAAAACCUUUUAAGAAAUUAGGGUUUCAACAAUAGUCGAGUUAAAAAGAUAGUAAAACUCAGAAUCAGAUAGGUCACAUAAAAGAAAAGAGAGUCUGAAACAAUAAUUGAGUCAAGUAUACUUUUAAACAAGUAGUCUCAUACCAAAAGACCUAGAGUUUUCCACAAUAAUCGAGUUCAAAAGAUGGUAAAAUUCAAAAUCAAAUUAGUCAAACAAGAACGAAGAACUUAAUUGAGCAAGUACAUAUUCAAACAUGCAGUUUCAGAACUCGGAUGAGACAAAAAGAAACUAGGGUUUUAACAUGUUGACUCAAGUAGAAGGAAAGCAUAACAAGUAGUUUGAACAUAGUAAAACCAUAAAACAACAUCAAGAAUCAGAAAAGAGAUUUUUUUAAAAGGGAGGUUAAGAGAAACCCUAAUCGGAGAAAAUGAAGGGUCGUUUUGAAAGAAAAGUUGAAGAACUUUCUAGAAAACACUUAAAACAUUCAUAACAAGUACAGAUCUAAAGUAGUUCUGAAAGAAAAAUUCAAAGAUCUUAAAGAUUAGGGUUUCGUAAGACCCAGAAAAGGUGAGAAAAACCUUGAAAGUUACCGAUCUAACCAGGAGAGUCAAGGAUCUGACUCGAACGGCCAUGGCUGGACAGAGAAAGGUCAUGGAUGACCGGAAAAGGGCCAUGAACAGAAGUCGAGCAAGGACUGGACCACAUUCCCUCGAGGUCUGGCUAUGAAACCACAGAAACAAACACCCAGGAGCCAUAGGAGGCCACUAGACAUCUCCAAUGACCAUGAGAGGUCAUAAAUUAGGCAGGGUUUAGGGUAGAUUAGGGUGGGAUUAGAUGGCGGCAACUAGGGUUCUUGAGAGAUUUCAGAGAGAGUUGAGAGAGAAAGGGAAUUCAAAGGCGGCGGGUGUAGAGAAAUGAUUUAGGUUUAGGGGUCGUUCAGAGUUAAAAAAGGUAAGGGGGAACGGUGGCCGUUGAUCUAAAUGAUCAACAGCUAGGAUUAAAGGGGUUAGGUGGGGAAUCCGGGUUGGGUCGCUUAAAUUGGGUUAGGGGUCGGGUUUGAUUUGCAAUUGGGCUGGGAAAUUGGGUCUGAUUUGGGGCUCAAUUUAGGCUGAAAUUGAAAGCCAAUCAGACUAGAUUUUAAAUAGCCAUUUUCCCCAUUCAUUUUAUAAAAUAGUAAAUUAAUUUCUAAAAAUAAAUUAAAAUCACUAAAAUCAUUUAUAACAUAUAACUAACAAUUUAAAAAUAUAGGACUUGAUUUUAUGAAUAUAAACGCAAUUAAAUCUUAAAAGAGGCUAACAUUGCAAUUAAAUGCAAUUUAGCUUAAAAAUACUAAAUAAAUUUGUAAAAAUAUGCAAAAAUUACCUUAGCUAUAUUUUAUUAUAAAUAUAAAAGUCCAAUGAAUGAAUUAUCAAAAUAAUAAUUUUGGAAAUAAUUAUUGGGUUUUUAUGGAUAAAAGAGGGAAAUAAAUUAAAUUUAAAAACCUUUAAAAAUUAUAGAAAAACAAUAAAACACUUGGACAUGCUUGUAUAUGCAUAUAUAUACUAUUUUGAAGGUAUUUUGCAUAUUGGAAAAUAUAUAGGGAAAAAUUGGAUAUCAAUAGCUGCCCCCUUUUUACUCGGGAAGGAUGAAAAAGUUGUCGGGUAAAGAUAUGAUGGCCAAUUCUGACCGAGCGAAACGGUUUGAAGAAGAUAGGUUGCACCCUGGCUUCUGAGCUGCCUACAUAUCCCUGGUUUUACAGGAAUCAGGUCAUAUGUAGUUCAAGAUCCGUCGGCGGAGUAUGCCGAUGGAGACUUUUCAAGAACGGACGCAAUAUCUAGGACAGAGUGAUUGGCAAGUUUGUGGGAAUGGUCAGGUUUGAUGUGGCUGCGGGAACUGGAGCGGAAUCGCUCCUGCCGGGAUGGCCAUUGCUCGCCUGUGUACCUGCAAUUAGAAACAAUACAAGCGUAUACAGUGCAUAAAUUUAAACAUUAUGCAAAUUCCCGUCGUACCAUGAAUGUUUUCUUCGGACGGUUAGGAUGACGUCCUUUAGAGCAUGACGUCCUGGGCUAUGAAACGUACAAUAAGGAAUUCACGGGCCAUGAAAUGAUGCUCUUGGGCUAUGAGGAUGGUGCCUUCGAACCAUGAUGCCUUUGAAUAAUGAUAUGCAAAAGAUUAAAAGGGGAUCCUCAGGCCAUGAUAUGGUGUUCUCGGGCUAUGAAGAUGAUGCCUCCGAACGAUGACGCCUUUGGAUAAUUUGGCGAUCUUUCAGCCCAUGAGAUGCAGUAUUUGGCGAUCUUUCAGCCCAUGAGAUGCAGUAUUUGGCGAUCUUUUAGCCCAUGGGAUGCAAUAUGAGGUGAUCUUUCAGCCAUGAGAUGCAGUAUGAUGCGAUCUUUCAGCCAUGAGAUGUAGUGAGGUAGUGUUUAGCCUUAUGCAAGGAUGAAGGCAGUGUUUAGCCUUAUGCAAUGCAAGUGCAGAUGGAGGUAGAGCUUAACCUCGGAAGGCAGAAUGGUAGCCUUAUGCGAAUUGGGAGGCAGAAAAGUAGCCUUAUGCAAGAAUGCAGAUGGAGGUAAUAGUAGCCUUAUGCAAUGCGAAAAUGCAGAUGGAGACAAUGUUUAGUCUCGGAAGGCAGAAUGGUAGCCUUAUGCAAUGCAAAAAUGCAGAUGGAGACAGCGUUUAGUCUCGGAAGACAGAAUGGUAGCCUUAUGCAAUGCAAAAAUGCAGAUAGAGACAACGUUUAGUCUCAGAAGGCAGAAUGGUAGCUUAUGCAAUGCAAAAUGCAUAUGGAGACAACGUUUAGUCUCGGAAGGCAGAAUAGUAGCCUUAUGCAAUGCAAAAAUGCAGAUGGAGACAGCGUUUAGUCUCGGAAGGCAGAAUGGUAGCCUUAUGCAAUGCAAAANNN
rnacentral:lncRNA from 1 species